rnacentral:rRNA from 1 species
AACGAACGCUGGCGGCAUGCCUAACACAUGCAAGUCAAACGAGACCUUCGGGUCUAGUGGCGCACGGGUGCGUAACGCGUGGGAACCUGCCCUUAGGUUCGGAAUAACUCCCCGAAAGGGGUGCUAAUACCGGAUAAUGUCUUCGGACCAAAGAUUUAUCGCCUUUGGAUGGGCCCGCGUUGGAUUAGCUAGUUGGUAGGGUAAAAGCCUACCAAGGCGACGAUCCAUAGCUGGUCUGAGAGGAUGAUCAGCCACACUGGGACUGAGACACGGCCCAGACUCCUACGGGAGGCAGCAGUGGGGAAUAUUGGACAAUGGGCGAAAGCCUGAUCCAGCAAUGCCGCGUGAGUGAUGAAGGCCUUAGGGUUGUAAAGCUCUUUUACCCGGGAUGAUAAUGACAGUACCGGGAGAAUAAGCUCCGGCUAACUCCGUG